rnacentral:rRNA from 1 species
ACGUAUUACCGUGACAUUCUGAUCCACGAUUACUAGCGAUUCCGACUUCACGCAGUCGAGUUGCAGACUGCGAUCCGGACUACGACUGGCUUUAUGGGAUUAGCUCCCCCUCGCGGGUUGGCAACCCUUUGUACCUGCCAUUGUAUGACGUGUGUAGCCCCACCUAUAAGGGCCAUGAGGACUUGACGUCAUCCCCACCUUCCUCCCCGGUUUGUCACCGGCAGUCUCAUUAGAGUGCCCAACUUAAUGAUGGCAACUAAUGACAAGGGUUGCGCUCGUUGCGGGACUUAACCCAACAUCUCACGACACGAGCUGACGACAGCCAUGCAGCACCUGUGUUCCGGUUCCCUUUCGGGCACUCCUCAAUCUCUCAAGGAUUCCGGACAUGUCAAGAGUAGGUAAGGUUUUUCGCGUUGCAUCGAAUUAAUCCACAUCAUCCACCGCUUGUGCGGGCCCCC